AAGAAACUAGAUGCAGUCGAGCGGGAUGGAGAGGCUGAUAAAAGCGCAGCAGACUCAUCACAUCAAGAACUCAUAGAAGAAGGUUCUCAUCAAGAAAGUUAGAGGUUUAUAAGAGAUGAGCUGCUGCUAUAACCAUUCAUUCCAUUACAUUCUCUAUAUAUGUGUUUAUUCAGCUUGGUCAUUUUAUAGACAAAGUCAUUCACUCAUCAAACAAGCUCCUUCUUCUCUCCUUCU